AUUGAACGCUGGCGGCAGGCCUAACACAUGCAAGUCGAGCGGAGCGGCGGGCGGGUGAGUAAUGCCUAUGAGUCUGCCUGGUUGUGGGGGAGAACGUCCGAAUACGGGCGCUAAUACCGCAUGCUAGCAGUUGAGCGUAGGUCGGAUUAGCUAGUUGGUGGGGUAAAGGCCUACCAAGGCGACGGUCCGUAACUGGUCUGAGUGGAUGAUCAGUCACACUGGAACUGAGACACGGUCCAGACUCCUACGGGAGGCAGCAGUGGGGAAUAUUGGACAAUGGGCGAAAGCCUGAUCCAGCCAUGCCGCGUGUGUGAAGAAGGUCUUCGGAUUGUAAAGCACUUUAAGUUGGGAGGCGUUACCAACAGAAUAAGCACCGGCUAACUUCGUGCCAGCAGCCGCGGUAAUUC
rnacentral:rRNA from 1 species